rnacentral:rRNA from 1 species
UACGAAGGGGGCUAGCGUUGCUCGGAAUUACUGGGCGUAAAGCGCACGUAGGCGGCUUUCUAAGUCGGGGGUGAAAUCCUGGAGCUCAACUCCAGAACUGCCUUCGAUACUGGAAGCUCGAGUCCGGGAGAGGUGAGUGGAACUGCGAGUGUAGAGGUGAAAUUCGUAGAUAUUCGCAAGAACACCAGUGGCGAAGGCGGCUCACUGGCCCGGUACUGACGCUGAGGCACGAAAGCGUGGGUAGCAAACAGGG